GCUCGCGUAGCUCAAAGCACAGAGCACGGCGCUUCUAACGCCGGCGAUGGAGGUGAGAGUCCUCCCGCGAGCGCCA
rnacentral:tRNA from 1 species